CCCCAUCACGAAAUGUUUCGAGGUCGGAUUUCCCCACUUGUCAUUCCGGGGCGCGCGGCUUCGCGCGAACCCGGAAUCCAUGGCCACUCACCGGAUUCCCGCAUCAUCAUGGAUUCCGGGCCUGCGCCAACCGGCGCAUCCCGGAAUGACGGGGAGGAUUCUCGCACGAAGACGCGCAUCCAGGCAUGACGGCGGAGAAA
rnacentral:misc_RNA from 1 species